UAACCACCUACACUUGGUGUUCUCUCUCUCUCUCUUUUUUUUUUUUUACCCAAAUAAUAAAUAAGGAUAGAUGCAAAAGCCCUGUUCUCUUUUGUGUCUGCAAAUGCUACAGGAGACAAAGCCUAGGUACAUCUGCUUUGGGAAAGCAAAUGAACAAAGGAUGGCACUUCUGAAGACACAAGUGCAGCCUGCGAUACUAGACUGUGUGAAGAGAGGACUCCCUUUGUUUGCAGUGUGAGCAAAAUCCACUGAAAGAUUUUCCUGCAGCACAAACCUAAAGAAGAGAUGGCAGAUAUUAAAAAGACUAAACACAACUAGGAUUCUCGAAGGCUUUCACAGCCGGGAUCUGGGUCAAAGAGCCCGAAAAACCCACAGCAAGCACAACUAGGAUUGUUUCACAAGAAAAUUUUACAUGACCUAAAAUAGCAACUCUCCAUUUGGCAGCUCUCCAGUGUUGGUUUCUGCUAGCCAUCAGCAUGUCCUUUGGUUUAAGAUGAUGGGAACAUCCUGGAGCCCCCAUCAUUUUUUUAUUCUGAAGAAGUACACUGAAUUAUAUAUCAAAAUCAUAUUUAGUAUUCUGUGAUGGACUACUCCAAAACCAUGGCUGAAAAGUUAAUCCCUAUAUGAUGUAUAAGAAUAUGUAAAAUUGAAUAACUAGUACUGUAGGUGAAUUUCUCUGGAGGCGCUUGAAACAGACUUUCUGCCUGAUUAUGUCUCUUAGGCUCAAAAAUCUACCAACUCUCACUCUCUUCUAAUUAUUAUGUUUGAAGCUGUUUCUCUUACUAUUCUUAGACUGAUGCAACACACCAUGAUUGCAAUCAACAUCCCCAGUUCUACCCUGUAUAGUUUGUCAAACAAGGCUUCAAGCUCAGAGAAUUUGGUCUGACCUGCUCUUGUGGAUUUGACAGGAAGAUCCUGCCACAGUUUCCCAUCAAACCCCCAGGAGCAUCUCUCAUAAAAACAUU
rnacentral:lncRNA from 1 species